rnacentral:piRNA from 1 species
UCCAGAUGAACAUCUAUGUGCCACGUUUGCC